rnacentral:rRNA from 1 species
UACGGAGGGGCUAGCGUUGUUCGGAAUUACUGGGCGUAAAGCGCGCGUAGGCGGACCUGCAAGUCGGGGGUGAAAGCCCGAGGCUCAACCUCGGAACUGCCUUCGAUACUGCGGGUCUCGAGUCCGGGAGAGGUGAGUGGAAUUCCUAGUGUAGAGGUGAAAUUCGUAGAUAUUAGGAAGAACACCAGUGGCGAAGGCGGCUGCACUGGCCCGGUACUGACGCUGAGGCGCGAAAGCGUGGGGAGCAAACAGG